rnacentral:rRNA from 1 species
AGCGAACGCUGGCGGCAGGCUUAACACAUGCAAGUCGAACGCCCCGCAAGGGGAGUGGCAGACGGGUGAGUAACACGUGGGAACGUACCCUUUGGUUCGGAAUAACUUCGGGAAACUCAAGCUAAUACCGGAUAAGCCCUUAUGGGGAAAGGUUUACUGCCGAAGGAUCGGCCCGCGUCUGAUUAGCUAGUUGGUGGGGUAGUGGCUCAGUAAGGCGACGUUCAGUAGCUGGUCUGAGAGGAUGAUCAGCCACACUGGGACUGAGACACGGCCCAGACUCCUACGGGAGGCAGCAGUGGGGAAUAUUGGACAAUGGGGGCAACCCUGAUCCAGCCAUGCCGCGUGAGUGAUGAAGGCCUUAGGGUUGUAAAGCUCUUUUACCCGGGACGAUAAUGACUGUACCGGAAGAAUAAGCCCCGGCUAACUUCGUGCCAGCAGCCGCAGUAA